CCCGAGAAAAAAAAACCCGCUAAUACUACUAGGAAUAUGUUUAACUUCCUGCUAAUCCUGUUAAGUUCCUGCUAAUACGGCUAAUCCUGUUCCAUCUCAAACCAUGUACAAUCAAUCAGCUUCAGAUUAUAAUAGCUUUGAAACAAUGAUAAUGAAAGUUUUUUCAUCGUUCUAAAUUUAUACUACAGUUAUGGUCGUAAAAGAUUAAGAAAAAUCUUAUGGGUGCAAUUAUUCCACUGACACCUGCGAAAAAUACCAAAAGAACUGACCAUCGCUGUUUAUUGUAUUUUUUUAAAUGUUUUAGUUAAACAAUCUAACACUUAA
rnacentral:lncRNA from 1 species